CGACCGGCGCACGGGUGCGUAACGCGUAUGCAACCUACCUUUAACAGGGGGAUAACACUGAGAAAUUGGUACUAAUACCCCAUAAUAUCAUAGAAGGCAUCUUUUAUGGUCGAAAAUUCCGAUGGUUAGAGAUGGGCAUGCGUUGUAUUAGCUAGUUGGUGGGGUAACGGCUCACCAAGGCGACGAUACAUAGGGGGACUGAGAGGUUAACCCCCCACACUGGUACUGAGACACGGACCAG
rnacentral:rRNA from 1 species